GAGGAGCCACGGGGAGCGGAGGAGAGGGAAUUCCUAGAUCCUGCUCAAAGCACUUUGUACAGAGAACUGAUGCUGGAGAAUUACAGCUGUCUUCUUUUUGUUGGUGCACACCCAAAUGUCCCUCAGCCUCUGAAGGCAUCUUGUAAAUAUGGUCAUUUAUAAAACGGAGUUCUACUCAGCGGUGAAGGAAAAGGAAACCAAGGAAUUUGCAGGU